UAGCCCGUUUUGAUUCAUUGGC
rnacentral:siRNA from 1 species